rnacentral:rRNA from 1 species
UACGGGGGGGGCAAGCGUUGUUCGGAAUUACUGGGCGUAAAGCGCGCGUAGGCGGAUCGCUAAGUCAGGGGUGAAAUCCCAGGGCUCAACCCUGGAACUGCCUUUGAUACUGACGAUCUGGAGAUCGGGAGAGGUUGGUGGAAUUCCGAGUGUAGAGGUGAAAUUCGUAGAUAUUCGGAGGAACACCAGAAGCGAAGGCGGCCAACUGGCCCGAUACUGACGCUGAGGCGCGAAAGCGUGGGGAGCAAACAGG